UCAACCCUCCUGUUGCCACCAAAAGCCUUGCUUCUCUUGUGUUUUCUGAUGAAGCUGUGCAGGGAACUUCUUUUUCCUGCAAGGGUUUGUCUUCAGCACCUCCUGACCCACCUCUAAUGGUUUUUCCUAUUGCCUCAGGGGUCCUGGAGGAAGCACCCCAUUCCUGCUUCCCAUCUCCCACCUGGUCCAGCCAAGAGGAAGAAUUCAGGCACGGGGCAGAAGACUCUGGGAAGAGUAAGAUUAUUUAAGCCUUAGUAGCACGAAGGGAAACGCUUGUUGACCAAAAGGUUUGUCAUCAAGUCCUUGAAGAAUUCAUGCCAUGACAACGGUGUCAAUGCCAGCAAUUAGCAGACGUGGCAACCGCAUCUCUUGCUUGAUGUUUGCUCUGUGCUACUUACACUGAGAGCCUUCUUUUUCAGGGGGCUUCGUGGGUGAUGGCUUUGCGUGAGGCUGACUUGGGUUCAGAGGAAGGACAGGAACGGUUGUGGCCCUAGAUAGUUCUCCUUGGCUCACACUGGAGUUUCUCCUUCCUUUUCUAGAUUCUGGCCUCAAAGGCCUGAUGCAAGUGAAAUAGAAAUCAGCUGACGAUUGACGUUUACUAACUGACUUUCCUUUGUGCACCUGCUACAUCCCAGCAACGUGGUGGAUAGUUAAGGCAAGGCCCCUGCCUUCAAGGAGCAGACCGUAUAGCAGAGACAAGGACGUCUGUGGGUAACUUUGGAAAGGGGCUAAAGGGAGACUGGGAGCCUGGCAGCAUUUGGGAGGAAUUUGCUAAAUUAUGGAUAAAGAAGGAACAGAUAAAUUACUCACCAUCCACUGCGUAUAAGACGCAAGGCCCUAAGGAGGGAAGGAAUUAAACACCCUUAGGAGUCUUACUUGUCUUCUCAAAUGGCACGUUACCCAUGCUUCCCAUCUCGAGGUAGGAUGACACCUAUGGCAUAGGGCAGACUUUCACAGGCAAGUUACCCCACGUCUUGGAGCCUCCUUUCCUGUCUCUGUUACACAGAGAUAGUAAACCCCCAGCCUAACAGGACUGACAGCUGAGGCCCUGGUCCUCAAACUUGAUUGUGCAUCAAUAGUGCCUGGGGCAUGGGAUCUGUUCCAUCCCAGCUUCCUGGGUCACUGCCCCCGCCGCCCAGAUUCUGAGUCAGCAGGUCUGGGUUGAACGCGAGAUUCUGCAUUUCUCACAUGUUCCCAGGCAAUGCUGCUGGUGCAGGAGCCUCCCUCUGAGAACCGCUGAGCUCAUGACCGUAAGUGCUGCUUAUAGAGCACGAGGUUCCAUUCAAACACUGUUACACACCUCCCUUUGCAAGGGUGUGAUAUUAGGCUUCAGUAACUAGAACUGGGGGGGGGGGGCCUGGUACCCCCUCAGCAAUGCAAACAAGCAGCCACCGUCACAGCUGAUCUGGUCACGGCUUGAGCUCAGCACCGUUUCUUUCAGGACCAGAUGAUGUAGCUGGAGACCUGGCACAGUAACACACUCUGAGAAUUUGUCACCUCUGCUGGCUCCCCUGCCUGGCUGGGCGAGGGGACAGGGACACUGUGGCAGGGUCUGGUAGCUGCCCGCACCCUCUGACCAAUGACCUGUCAGGAGACUGCAGCCUUGCUCUCUGGAAAUUCUGAAAGGGCCCUCAGCUGCCCACGUGUGCACUUAAUGCACUGAGACCCAGGGAAGGAAAAAGAGCCACUGCUGAUUCAGCAAAGUACACCUGGGCUCCCAUGAUGCGGCAGGAAAGAGCUUCUCCAAAGGAAGGUGUCUGGGGCACCAAAAUGGCAAAGGAAGGAAGUGGAUUCUUGGAGAUAUGGGGCUGGCCAAAAAGUUUGUUCGGGGUUUCCCAUAAGAUGGUAUGAAAAAAACCCAAAUGAACUUUUUGGCCAGCCCAAUAUGUUGAGGCACCAGAAAAGGCACUGUGUAUCUCAGUCAGCAUCGCUUGGCUUCCCAGAUCUCAGCUCCACUAGAACCGGCUAAAGCUCAGAAGACUCUGGACAUGCUUUCUCCAUCCCCAGCUCCAUCCGGAUGUGGGAAGACCGAGAGUACACAGAAAGCUCCCCUGCCUACUGGUGAGCUGAGCAUGGCGGCCAGGCACAGAGUGGACGGGAGCAGCACGAGGGGCCGUCCUGCAGGGCGACUGAAUCCCCGCCCCACACCUAGACCACCUUGGGAAGUACCAACCCCAGUCUCCUCUUGUGUCCAAUGUGGUGGCGCUCCUCUGUAGGGUCCUUGUGAGCUAGUACGUGGUGAGCACCUAGGACAGCGCCUGGGGUAGACUGGCCAUUUGACUGUCACUUAUUAUCCUUGUCCACAGUGUUGACACAGCUUCGGUCAAAGUGGGAUUCUCACAAAUGGGCAACUUUCAUUCUCUCAUACGCUCUAUGGCCAAUGUAUCACCCUGAGCAUCAAACACUCCAUUUCUAGUCAUUGAUCCAGAGAAAUCAUCUGAAACGGGAACAAAAAUUCGUUCUUGGCCAAGUGUAUUGCCAUUGGGUUUAAACUGGAAAAUAAAAGAGGACAGUCUAAAUGCUCCACGUCGAGAAACUCGUUCUGUC